UCAGUCUCUGAACCCAACCUGAAGGUGCGCUCUCGGUUGAAGCAGAAGGUAGCAGAGAGGCGCAGUUCGCCUCUUCUCCGCAGAAAGGAUGGAACCAUCAUCAGCACCUUCAAGAAACGAGCCAUUGAGAUUUCAGUCUCUUCUCUCUGUAACAGCGCACCAGGUUCUGGUCCCAGCAGUCCCAACAGCUCCAACACAGCCAUCUCCAAUGGCAAUACAAGUUCUGUCCCCAACAUACAGACCGAGUUGAGAUCUCUCCAUCAGACUCUGGGGACAGAGGGGACACUGAGUCCUCUGAGUCUCUACACCUCACCCUCCCUGCCCAACAUCUCUCUAGGCCUCCCUGCCAACACACAC